rnacentral:rRNA from 1 species
UACGAAGGGGGCUAGCGUUGCUCGGAAUCACUGGGCGUAAAGGGCGCGUAGGCGGACUUUUUAAGUCAGGGGUGAAAUCCUGAGGCUCAACCUCAGAACUGCCUUUGAUACUGAGGGUCUCGAGACCGGUAGAGGUAAGUGGAACUGCGAGUGUAGAGGUGAAAUUCGUAGAUAUUCGCAAGAACACCAGUGGCGAAGGCGGCUUACUGGACACAUAUUGACGCUGAGGUGCGAAAGCGUGGGGAGCAAACAGG